GCCACUGUGCCCAGCCUAAAAUUUUCUUUCAGCGGGAAAACGGAGUGGCGAGGCUGGGCGCAGAGAGGCUGGGGCUGUGGUCCAGCGUGGGCUCCACUGGUGGGCAGCAGCAGCUGCGAGGAGCCCACUGAGGCCCUAGCCCAGCCGCAGCUGCUCAGACGCAGCUUUAACUAAUUAAUUCAGGAAAAAAUGUGGAUUCAGAAAAGAACCCAGUGAGGUUGGACCCCGAAGAUCAGACACGGGACAAGUGGUGAAGGAUACAAAAGAAGUGCUUUGAUUCCUCUGGUGGAAGAAACAUGUCUUUUAUCUUUCUCCCUGUCCUAUAAGGACUCUCCUAAAACCUUUAUUUUUUUACUGUUGGGUUUACAGGCUGUGCAUUUGGAUCAGCUGCUAUUUGGCAAUAUGAAUUACUGAAAUCCAGGGUCCAGAGUUAUUUCGAUGGCAUAAAAGCUGAUUGGUCGGAUAGCAUAAGACCACAAAAAGGAGACUUCAGAAAAGAGAUUAACAAGGGGUGGAAUAACCUAAGUAAUGGCCAGCGGACUCAGGUAUCAUAGCUGCAAAUGUCCUUGUUUUCUGUUUAUAGAGAGUACCUUCUCUGCAGUGGACAGUGAUCAGAUAUUUCACAUCUAAUCCAGCCUCAAAGGUCCGUUGUUCCCCAAUGUUGCUGUCAACAUUCAAUCAUUUCUCCUUAUUUCACAUGGCAGCAAAUAUGUAUGUUUUGUGGAGCUUCUCUUCCAGUAUAGUGAACAUUUUGGGUCAAGAGCAGUUCAUGGCAGUGUACCUAUCUGCAGAUGUUAUUUCCAAUUUUGUCAAUUAUAUGUGUAAAGUUGGCCAAACGAAGAUAUGGACAAUGACAUGAUGCAUCUCGCGCCACCGUGAUGAUCCUCGCAGCCGUCCACACUAAGAUCCCGGAAGGGAGGCUUGCCAUUAUUUUCUUCCAAUAUUCACAUUCACGGCAGGAAGUGCCCUAAAAGCCAUUAAUGCCAUGGAUACGGCAGGAAUGAUCCUGGGAUGGAAAUUUUUUGAUUAUGCAGCACAUCUUGGGGGAGCUGUCUUUGGAAUAUGGUAUGUUACUUACAGUCCUGAACUGAUUUGGAAGAACAGGGAGCCUCUACUGAAAAUCUGGCAUGAAAUGAGGACUAAUGCCCCGCCCUCCCACCCCACAAAAAAGAGGUGGCUCUAAGUAAAACUGGGAUUGCACAGUGCUGGUGCCUCUGGCUUGUGCUGCCUGAGAGCCCUAGGAGACAUUGGCCCUAGAGUGAUCACAGCUAUGCUCCCACCUGGAAGACGCCAGCAUCUGGCCUCCCAGUGUUUUCAGCUGUGUCCCCCGGUCCAUGUCUUUUCAGAAAGUGAAUAUGACAUAGUUGUGAAAUAAAGGUUUACAUCUAGUUUGUAAAAAAUAAAAAAGUAAAAAUAAAAAUAAAUUUCUUUUACCUUGCAA